rnacentral:ncRNA from 1 species
CCGCUCCGCGAAAAGUGGCCCUUGUGGCCGCCUGCCCCCAUCUAUAAGCGAUGGAUCGGGCUAGCGGGGUGGGUUGUU